AUGGCCUGGCAGCCAACGAUCGCCACAGCAUAUACAUGCUUUCGGCCAUCGUCGUCUCCGGCAGCGGAUCAGCUGCGCCGGCCGGCUCGCUGCUCAUCGGCGCCCCAUCGGCGGUCGGCCAACUACCCUCCCAACUCCUGGGACUACGACUCCGUCCUACUGUCUCUGAGCAACCCCCGCUAUGAUCUGGUAAUCCCUUCAAGAAUAUGGAGCUUUGACAAGUUGAAGGCCGGCGUGAGGGAACGGCUGGUGACGGUGGGAAGAGGUGACGACCAGCCUGCAAUGCUCAGACUCAUCGACACAAUGCAACGGCUCGGUAUCGCCUACCACUUUGAUGACGAGAUCGUUGGUAUCCUCACCUCGAUCCAUGCGUGCAGCUGGGAGGAUAAUAGUGAUGUGGCUUCCGCGGCCUUGAGGUUCAGGUUACUUAGGGAAAAAUUUAUCCCAGUGUCCGAUGGUACCCAUGUAGAAUCUCUGAAAACUCUCGCAAAGAAUUACCUCACACGCACACUCCAGAGGGAUGAUAUCAAGGGACUACUCUCACUCUAUGAGGCAUCAUACCUGGCAUUCAGAGAUGAUGAAACAUUGGAUGAAGCAAGAACAUUUUGUGCCAAUGGUCUCAAAGAGCUCCUGCCAUCCUUAGAUCCCCACUUACAGAGUAGUGUGGUUCAUACUUUGGACAUUCCCUUGCAUCGGAGGUCUCCUAGACUAGAAGCAAGAUGGUUCAUAGAACACUAUGCUAGUGAUGUGAGUAAUUCCGACCCGUUUCUUCUUCGAUUUGCUAUGAGAGAUUUCGAGAGGGUGCAAACAGUGCAUCAACAAGAACUUCAGAGACUUCUAAGAUGGAGGAUGGAGACUGGACUUGGUGAGAAGUUCAGGUUUGCAAGAGAUCGUCUCGUAGAGUGCUUCCAUUGUGCGAAUGGAAUUGUCUGGGAUCCAAACCUUGGAUCAUGCCGGGAGGUGCUUGCCAAAGUUAUUCAUCUAGCCGUACACUUGGAUGACAUAUAUGAUGUGUAUGGAACCCUGGACGAACUCAUCCACUUCACUGACGCGAUUGGAAGGUGGGAACAAAGUCCUAGGGAAAUUCUUCCUGAAUAUAUGCGAGCACUUUACUCUGUUAUGUAUGACACAUCCAAUGAGGUGUCUGAAAAUGUGUUGAAAAAACAUGGCUUCAAUGUUAUUCCUUUUCUCCGGGAUGCGUGGCAUGGCAUGGCGAAAUCAUUCUUGGUGGAGGCAAAGUGGCACCAUGGAAAUCACAUACCAACCCUAACCGACUACAUGGAAAAUGGGUCGGUUUCAUCUACUGCACCACUAUUGUUGCAACAUGCAUUUCCCAUGCUCAACAUGGAGUUCACACCAAAGUUUCUUGAUAUAUCCCGAAGCUACCCAAGAUUAAUUCAAUCUACGUCACUGGUUUUGCGGCUAUGCAAUGAUUCCGUGACACACUCUGCUGAACUUGAGAGAGGGGACACACCAUCUUCCAUAGCUAUCCACAUGUUGGAGAACGACACCAGUGAGCAAGAGUCUCGGAAAGCCAUGGAAGAUCUUAUGAUGGAUGCUUGGAAGUCAAUUAAUGAAGAUGCUUUCUUACAUUGCCAAUUUUCUAGAUCUCUUGCCAUGGCUUGCGUGAAUUUGGCUCGAACCUCACAUUGUGUUUAUCAAGGUGGGGAUGGUUUUGGGGCACCGGAUGGUAAAAAAAAGGAGCAAAUCACAAUUUUUUUUGCAGCCUUUUAA
rnacentral:rRNA from 1 species